UGGAUGCACCUUAGACUGAGCGGGCUGAACAGGUGAGUUGAAUGGUUGCUGGAUGGGUGCUGGAAGGUGUUUCAGGAGAAAAGCCCGGAUGGGGAAAAGGUCCUUGCGCUGCCCGUGCCAGCUCACACUGCACCCUUCCAAAUGAUUGGGGCCAGGGGUAUUUGGUUCCUUUUCAGAUGCCGUAAGAGCACUGAUUUCAGAAAGAAAGAAAGAAAGAGAGCGUAUUCUCCCAGAAUGCCCCUCUUCCCCAAGAGCAGGCACGGCACAGCAGCUGUAGCAGCAGCCUUCCUCUGGCAGGGAUUCAUUCCCUGAGCCUGGGCAGCCACCAAGGAGGAAAAAGACAGAGACAACAGGAGAGCAGGUCCUCCCGGUUCAAAUACAAGAAAGAAGGAGUUAUGGAUUAAGGGAAAGCCAUCCCAUCAUAAACAGGUGCUACCUAAAAAUCAACCGUCAGUGAUUUGGGACUGGCCUCCACCUGAGCUCAUCUUUAUUGAACGGGCUGUCUCAAAGCAUGCAUGGUUGCUUCCGUGGUGUGGAACGUUUUCUUUACUGAUCCAUGGCUCGCAUGUUCUGCCUUAUCCAGCAUACGCUUAAUAAAAGCUCACACCAGUAACGGUGGUGGCAAGCCAGGCACUCAGCUGGGGGCACUGACUCUUCUGUGACGUCACCAAGCACAGCACUGUGUGCUCUGGUGACACGCAUGCGCCCUACCGCCACAGAGGCGCUGUGCAGGGCAGUGGAUGUGCCUGUCCCGUGGCUGCGCCAGCCCUCUGCUGAGGGAGCACUGUUGGCUGUGGGAGUUGGACGCGUGUUCCCAGUUCUUGCUUCCAAGUUCUACUGAAGGUUGCUUGAGCGUUGCGACAGUUCCUGUACGCAGCUGACGUCAGGGCAUUUCCCCCCCUCGAGAAGCUAAUCGAGCACCAGAAGAAGGCAGGGAAAAUGCUUCUUGCUCAUUAUUUUUCACCUCUUGAUACUUUCUUUAGGGUUACUUUAUUUCCCUGAUCAAGCCAGGAGAAGGCUUCC
ensembl:lncRNA